rnacentral:rRNA from 1 species
UGAUCCUGGCUCAGGAUGAACGCUAGCGGCAGGCUUAACACAUGCAAGUCGAGGGGUAACAUUGUAGCUUGCUACAGAUGACGACCGGCGCACGGGUGCGUAACGCGUAUAGAACUUACCUUUUACAGAGGGAUAGCCUCUAGAAAUGAAGAUUAAUACCUCAUAGUAUUAUUGAUUGGCAUCAAUUAAUAAUUAAAGAUUUAUCGGUAAAAGAUGGCUAUGCGUCCUAUUAGCUAGAUGGUAAGGUAAUGGCUUACCAUGGCUACGAUAGGUAGGGGCCCUGAGAGGGGGAUCCCCCACACUGGUACUGAGACACGGACCAGACUCCUACGGGAGGCAGCAGUGAGGAAUAUUGGGCAAUGGAGGUAACUCUGACCCAGCCAUGCCGCGUGCAGGAAGACUGCCCUAUGGGUUGUAAACUGCUUUUAUACAGGAAGAAACACUCGUACGUGUACGAGCUUGACGGUACUGUAAGAAUAAGGACCGGCUAACUCCGUGCCAGCAGCCGCGGUAAUACGGAGGGUCCGAGCGUUAUCCGGAAUCAUUGGGUUUAAAGGGUCCGCAGGCGGUCAAUUAAGUCAGAGGUGAAAUCCCAUAGCUUAACUAUGGAACUGCCUUUGAUACUGGUUGACUUGAGUCAUAUGGAAGUAGAUAGAAUGUGUAGUGUAGCGGUGAAAUGCAUAGAUAUUACACAGAAUACCGAUUGCGAAGGCAGUCUACUACGUAUGUACUGACGCUCAUGGACGAAAGCGUGGGGAGCGAACAGGAUUAGAUACCCUGGUAGU